rnacentral:rRNA from 1 species
AAGUGGAGCAAUCCAUGAGUAAAGUGGCGACCGGGUGAGUAACACGUGACUAACCUACCUUCGAGUGGGGGAUAACCUCGGGAAACCGAGGCUAAUACCGCAUAACAUCGCAAGAUCAAAGCAGCAAUGCGCUGGAAGAGGGGGUCGCGGCUGAUUAGCUAGUUGGCGGGGUAACGGCCCACCAAGGCGAAGAUCGGUAUCCGGCCUGAGAGGGCGCACGGACACACUGGAACUGAAACACGGUCCAGACUCCUACGGGAGGCAGCAGUGGGGAAUUUUGCGCAAUGGGGGAAACCCUGACGCAGCAACGCCGCGUGGAGGAUGAAGCCCCUUGGG